AAUCAACGCUGGCGGCGUGCCUCAGACAUGCAAGUCGAACGAUUAAAGCUCUCUUCGGAGAGUGCAUAGAGUGGCGCACGGGUGAGUAACACGUAAGUAAUCUACCUUCGAGUGGGGAAUAACGUCCGGAACGGACGCUAAUACCGCAUAAUGCAGCGGCAUCGCAAGAUGACAGUUGUUAAAGGAGCAAUUCGCUUGAAGAGGAGCUUGCGGCAGAUUAGCUAGUUGGUAAGGUAAUGGCUUACCAAGGCUACGAUCUGUAACCGGUCUAAGAGGACGGUCGGUCACACUGACACUGAAUAACGGGUCAGACUCCUACGGGAGGCAGCAGUCGGG
rnacentral:rRNA from 1 species